GCGCGUGUGGCGGAAUUGGUAGACGCGCCAGCUUGAGGGGCUGGUGUUCGCUUAGAACGUGCUGGUUCGAGUCCAGUCACGCGCACUA
rnacentral:tRNA from 1 species